UGGGGAAUUUUGCACAAUGGGGGAAACCCUGAUGCAGCGACGCCGCGUGAUUUAGAAGGCCUUCGGGUUGUAAAUAUCUUUUCUAUGGGAAGAAAAUGACAGUACCAUAGGAAUAAGGACCGGCUAAUUACGUGCCAGCAGCCGCGGUAAUACGUAAGGUCCGAGCGUUGUCCGGAAUCAUUGGGCGUAAAGGGUACGUAGGCGGGUAAGCAAGUUAGAAGUAAAAUCCUAUAGCUCAACUAUAGUAAGCUUUUAAAACUGCUAAUCUUGAGGUAUGGAAGGGAAAGUGGAAUUCCUAGUGUAGCGGAGAAAUGCGCAAAUAUUAGGAGGAAUACCGGUGGCGAAGGCGACUUUCUGGACAGAACCUUACGCUGAGAUACGAAAGCGUGGGUAGCAAACAGG
rnacentral:rRNA from 1 species